GGGCGACCCCGGGACGGGCGAGGCCACCCGCCGAGUUUAAGCAUAUCAAUAAGCGGAGGAGAAGAAACUUACAAGGAUUCCCCUAGUAACGGCGAGCGAACCGGGAUAUGCCCAGCAUGGGAAUCGGGCUGCCAUGCAGCAGCUCGAAUUGUAGUCUGGAGAAGCGUCCUCAGCGACGGACCUGGGCCCAAGUCCCCUGGAAAGGGGCGCCGGGGAGGGUGAGA
rnacentral:rRNA from 1 species